rnacentral:rRNA from 1 species
GUGGGGAAUAUUGGACAAUGGGCGCAAGCCUGAUCCAGCAACGCCGCGUGAAUGAUGAAGGCCUUCGGGUCGUAAAGUUCUUUUGGUAGGGAAGAAAAUGACGGUACCUACAGAAUAAGCUCCGGCUAACUUCGUGCCAGCAGCCGCGGUAAUACGAAGGGGGCUAGCGUUGUUCGGAAUUACUGGGCGUAAAGCGUGCGUAGGUUGUUAUUCAAGUUAGUGGUGAAAGCCCAGGGCUUAACUCUGGAACUGCCAUUAAAACUGAAUAGCUAGAGAGUGUUAGAGGUAAGUGGAAUUCCUAGUGUAGGAGUGAAAUCCGUAGAUAUUAGGAGGAACAUCAAUGGCGAAGGCAGCUUACUGGGUCACAUCUGACACUGAGGCACGAAAGCGUGGGUAGCAAACAGGAUUAGAUACCCCUGUAGUCC